GGGGAAUUUUCCGCAAUGGGCGAAAGCCUGACGGAGCAAUACCGCGUGAGGGAGGAAGGCUCUUGGGUUGUAAACCUCUUUUCUCAGGGAAUAAGAACUGAAGGCACCUGAGGAAUCAGCAUCGGCUAACUCCGUGCCAGCAGCCGCGGUAAUACGGAGGAUGCAAGCGUUAUCCGGAAUGAUUGGGCGUAAAGCGUCCGCAGGUGGUUUAUCAAGUCUGCUGUCAAAGAGUUUGGCUCAACCAAAUAAAGGCAGUGGAAACUGACAGACUGGAGUGCGGUAAGGGCAGAGGGAAUUCCUGGUGUAGCGGUGAAAUGCGUAGAGAUCAGGAAGAACACCGGUGGCGAAAGCGCUCUGCUGGGCCGUAACUGACACUGAGGGACGAAAGCUAAGGGAGCGAAUGGGAUUAGAUACCCCAGNUAGUCA
rnacentral:rRNA from 1 species